AGAGUUUGAUCCUGGCUCAGGACGAACGCUGGCGGCGUGCCUAAUACAUGCAAGUCGAGCGGACCGGAGGGAGCUUGCUCCCAAAGGUUAGCGGCGGACGGGUGAGUAACACGUGGGCAAUCUGCCCGACAGACUGGGAUAACGCUUGGAAACGAGUGCUAAUACCGGAUAAGCGAUUUCCUCGCAUGAGGAGAUCGAGA
rnacentral:rRNA from 1 species